rnacentral:rRNA from 1 species
AUUGAACGCUGGCGGCAUGCUUUACACAUGCAAGUCGAGCGGCAGCACGGGGGCAACCCCGGUGGCGAGCGGCGAACGGGUGAGUAAUACAUCGGAACAUGCCCCGUCGUGGGGGAUAACACUUCGAAAGAAGUGCUACUACCGCAUACGUCCUGAGGGAGAAAGCGGGGGAUCUUCGGACCUCGCGCGAUUGGAGUGGCCGAGGUCAGAUUAGCUAGUUGGUGGGGUAAAGGCCUUCCAAGGCAACGAUCGGUAGCUGGUCUGAGAGGAUGAUCAGCCACACUGGGACUGAGACACGGCCCAGACUCCGACGGGAAGCAGCAGUGGGGAAUUUUGGACAAUGGGGGCAACCCUGAUCCAGCCAUUCCGCGUGAGUGAAGAAGGCCUUCGGGUUGUAAAGCUCUUUCGGCAGGAACGAAACGGCGAGCUCUAACAUAGCUUGCUAAUGACGGUACCUGAAGAAGAAGCACCGGCUAACUACGUGCCAGCCGCCGCCGUAACAC